UACGUAGGGUGCAGGCGUUAAUCGGAGUUACUGGGCGUAAAGCGCGUGUAGGCGGCGUGGCAAGUCGGGUGUGAAAGCCCUCAGCUCAACUGAGGAAGUGCGCCCGAAACUGCUGUGCUUGAGUGCCGGAGAGGGUGGCGGAAUUCCCCAAGUAGAGGUGAAAUUCGUAGAUAUGGGGAGGAACACCGGUGGCGAAGGCGGCCACCUGGACGGUAACUGACGCUGAGACGCGAAAGCGUGGGGAGCAAACAGG
rnacentral:rRNA from 1 species